UACGUAGGGUGCAAGCGUUGUCCGGAAUUAUUGGGCGUAAAGAGCUCGUAGGCGGUCUGUCGCGUCGGCUGUGAAAACCCCGGAGCUCAACUCCGGGCCUGCAGUGGGUACGGGCAGACUAGAGUGCGGUAGGGGGAGAUUGGAAUUCCUGGUGUAGCGGUGGAAUGCGCAGAUAUCAGGAGGAACACCAAUGGCGAAGGCAGAUCUCUGGGCCGUAACUGACGCUGAGGAGCGAAAGCAUGGGGAGCGAACAGG
rnacentral:rRNA from 1 species